ensembl:lncRNA
CAUACUUGACAGGCACAGAACAGAGGUGACAAAUCCACAAAGAAAGGGAGAGAUGGGGAACCAGUGGGUGAAGGAUUACCUCACAGAAUAUGCAGAAAGCUUCCCUCAAGUCUCCGUAGUCCUCGAGGCCAACAUUGACAGGUGCAUCUAUGGUCAGAAAGGGUUUGAAGAUCACACCUUUCAAGAGAUGUGGGAAUUAUAUUGUCAGUACAGCAGCCAAAAGGACAGACCUGAGAAGUUCAGUGAUGAGCAGAGGGAGGUCAUUCAGAGGCACACAGUUCUGUGAAGAGGUGGUUGAACACACCAGGGACGCACAUCACAAGCACCCAAAUGAAGAGGUUCAGAAAAUAUAUAUAUGACAAGGAACAACAACAGCUGACAAGUACCCCCAGGUGUGAUCCUUCAUUGUGGCCAAGUGAUGAUGCUGAACUGAUAGCUGCAUCCCAGUCUGUGGAAGAUUCACUGAAGUCCCAACACUCCUUGUCUGCAAGUCAACCUUUAAAGCAACGGCUGACAAGCAGAGGUGUUUCCUCCUCCCAGACGUCUGGAACAUAGGAGAACUCAGCUCCCCUGUCCAAGGAGUUUGAGAACACUGUACAGUCACCACAUCAAAAUAAAUCUACUGUGCAGCCCAAACAUCGUGAGUCCACAGAGGCUGCCAUACAGUCCAAAAAACUUGACACUGUUGGAUUCACUGAGUCAUCUGCAUCCCAGGGUCAUGAUCAUACAACACAAUUACUGUUGAGUCAUUCACCUGUGGAGCUAGAGGGAUGGGUGCGUCCCUGGGAAAAUCCUAAUGGUAUCCCAUCUGCUGACAUUUCCUGGCUUAAAGAGGACACUGAAAGAGGACUGUUUACCCCUGUUCAGACAUACAAGGAUGUUACUGGUGUGUUGAAGAGGCGACGGGUGAUUAAAUCAGAUCGCAUGUGGUUUUACCCACCAGAACCUCCUGGCUAUGCCAGGGGUGCUGUGCCCAGUGUACAGCUCUUUUUUCGCAGCCG